rnacentral:rRNA from 1 species
GACGAACGCUGGCGGCGUGCUUAACACAUGCAAGUCGAACGGUGAAAGCGGAGCUUGCUCCGCUGGAUCAGUGGCGAACGGGUGAGUAACACGUGGGCAACCUGCCCCUCACUUCGGGAUAACUCCGGGAAACCGGGGCUAAUACCGGAUAUGACCUCCUUGGGCAUCCUGGGAGGUGGAAAGUUUUUCGGUGAGGGAUGGGCCCGCGGCCUAUCAGCUUGUUGGUGAGGUAGUGGCUCACCAAGGCGACGACGGGUAGCCGGCCUGAGAGGGCGACCGGCCACACUGGGACUGAGACACGGCCCAGACUCCUACGGGAGGCAGCAGUGGGGAAUAUUGCGCAAUGGGCGAAAGCCUGACGCAGCAACGCCGCGUGCGGGAUGACGGCCUUCGGGUUGUAAACCGCUUUCAGCAGGGAAGAAGCCGCAAGGUGACGGUACCUGCAGAAGAAGCACCGGCUAACUACGUGCCAGCCGCCGCAGUAA